CCUACGGGAGGCAGCAGUGGGGAAUAUUGGGCAAUGGGCGCAAGCCUGACCCAGCAACGCCGCGUGAAGGAAGACGGCUCUCGGGUUGUAAACUUCUUUUCUCAGGGACGAAGAAAGUAACGGUACCUUAGGAAUAAGCCACGGCUAACUACGUGCCAGCAGCCGCGCUAAUACGUAGGUGGCAAGCGUUAUUCGGAUUUAGUGGGUGUAAAGGGCGUGUAGGCGGGAGGGUAAGUCAGAUGUGAAAACUCAGGGCUCAACCAUGAGCCUGCAUUUGAAACUGUGGUUCUUGAGUGCUGGAGAGGCAAGCGGAAUUCCGUGUGUAGCGGUGAAAUGCGUAGAUAUAAGGCAGAACACCAGUGGCGAAGGCGGAUUGCUGGACUGUAACUGACGCUGAGGCGCGAAAGCGUGGGGAGCAAACAGGAUUAGAUACCCGUGUAGUC
rnacentral:rRNA from 1 species